rnacentral:rRNA from 1 species
AUUGAACGCUGGCGGCAGGCCUAACACAUGCAAGUCGAGCGGAUGAAGGGAGCUUGCUCCUGGAUUCAGCGGCGGACGGGUGAGUAAUGCCUAGGAAUCUGCCUGGCAUGGGGGUAUAAUGUCCUGAAACGGGUGGUAAUACUGCCUACGACCUGCGGCUGCAGGUGGGGGGGCGUUGGACCGUACGCUAGCAUGUGAGUCUAGGCCGGAGUAGCUAGGUGGUGGGGUAAGUGCCUACCAAGGGGAGGAUUGGUAAGUGGUCGGAGAGGAUGAUCGGUCACACUGGAAGUGAGACACGGUCCAGACUCCUGCGGGAGGGAGCAGUGGGGAAUGUUAGGCAAUAGGCGGGAGCCUGGUCCAGCCGUGCCGCGUGUGUGGAGGAGGUGUUCGGAUUGUGAAGCACGUUAAGUUGGGGGGAAGGGCAGUAAGUUGAUACCUUGCUGUUUUGACGUUAACAACAGAAUAAGCACCGGCUAACUUCGUG